AUCCGAGCAUUGAAAAUGACACAACUAGUUUUGUGCCUUUCAACAUCGUCAGGCGUGCCAAAAGAGUCGUUCAAUAUUUGAAGCAUCUCCUGUGGCUGGACGUUCUCAAACCUGUGGCUGAACUCGUCAUUCAUUGCUGCCAGCAUAAUACAUCGGACGGUAGUGCGGUCAUUGAGUCACUUCUGGUAAGUGUCUCUAAUCGCCUUACUAGCGUUCGGAGCUGGCUCCUCAGGUGCUGGAUCCGUUACUACAUAAAGGAUCCGCUCAUGCUCAAGGACAAUUUUCAAUUUUCGAUACCAACUAUCGAAAUUAGGUCCCAUGAGCUUGUCAUUAUCUAAUAAUGAUCGGAGCGACAGGGUAGUGGCCAUAGCUGUAUAAAGAAAAAUUAGACCUCUAUUAGUACAUAAAUUAAUACUAAAGACUUGGACUUUAGUCUAAAAUUUUUUUCAAUAUUUUUACGAACUGGUAGCCUCA
rnacentral:lncRNA from 1 species